CCCAUGAAGGGUCAAUAUGCGCAGUCAAUUUUAAGUUUGGUAGUUACAUAAGUUAGUCACUCACUCUGAUUUAUUAUGCAAGAAGCAAUUUAAUGCAUUGCCUCAUUUAUUUUUCAUUUAUUGUGCUGUUGAUUGGAAUGUUCCUUAUAUUUAUGUAUGUCUAUUAUAAAUCCCCAAAAGGUGCAAACCUAUACUGUUUUGGGAUGUUUCAGUGUUUGGCAUGUGUAAAGGUUUAUGUGUUUCAUGAUAAUGAAUUUGCCAAAUGGAGGGAGAAAGUGAGAAAUGAUGUAAUUUACGUGCAUCAAAGACAAUAGUACAGUUAGGAUUAUUUACUGAUCAAUUCAGUGACAUCCAAUGUACAUUAUUUUACAUGAGUGUUAAUAUUUGGUAUGUGUGAAUAAUUAUUUUUCUUUUGUUUCAGUGAUCAAUUUUAGUGAGAUCCAAUGCACAUUAUUCUAUAUGAGGCAAAUAUUAGUUAUGUUUAAGGUGUAAACCUAUACUGUUUUGAGAUGUUUCACUGUUUUACAUGUGUAAAGCUUUAUGUGUAGAUGAUACUCAAUUUGCCAAAUGGAGGGAGAAAGUGGAAAAUGAUGUAAUUUACAUGCAUUAAAGACAAUAGUAUAGUUAGGAUAUUUUAGUGAUCAAUUUAGUGACAUCAAAUGUACAUUCUUCUAUAUUAGUGUUAAUAUUUGUUAUGUGUUAAUAAUUAUUGUUGUUACAGUGAUCAUUUAAAGGGACAUUCAAUGUACAUUAUUCUAUAUGAGGGUAAAUAUUAGUUAUGUUUAAUUUAUUUUUUUUUGUCUGCAGAAUAUGUUGAGUGUGAGACAUCUGAAUUGAUACACAAAGAAGUUGCCAACGAUGAAGAAGCUUACAAAUUAUACAAUGAGUAUGCAUUUAAAUGCGGAUUUGGUAUCCGGAAGGGCAAAGUUUGUUGGAGAUAUGAAACAAAGACAAUCAGACAACGUUUUUUAGUUUGUAGUCGGGAAGGAUUGAAAGACACAAAAGGUUGUGUGCCUAAGGCAUUCACUAAGCUUGAUCAACGUUGUGGAUGUAAAGCGUUUAUUCAAUUUGAUGUAUCCAAAGACUCUGGACUUUUUAUUGUUA